UUUUAAAGUGACAAUUGGAAUUUAUGUGUCACUCUUAAAUCAAGGAGUAAGAGGCCUGGACAAUGUGGUUCGGUACUUAUCCAUCUGGUUUUUAAUGCGUUCAAAUUUUCAAGAUCAAGAGGAAUAUACUGUUGUUUACAGUCUUUUCUGCUUUCUUUGUCUAUGUUGUGCUUUGUAGAACAUAAUGUAUAAAUAUGGCUAAUUGUUUAAAUUG